UAAAAAUCUAAAGAUGGUUUAGCAAGGAAACAUGGUUACAUUAUGCUUUUUAAACACUUUAAUUUUUUGGGAGGCCAAUCAAAUGACAGGCAAAGUAAAAUGGUUUAACGCAGAAAAAGGUUUCGGAUUCAUCGAGCGCGAGAACGGUGACGACGUAUUCGUUCACUUCUCAGCUAUCCAAGGAGACGGAUUCAAGACUUUAGAAGAAGGUCAAUCAGUACAAUUCGAUAUCGUUGACGGAAACCGUGGACCACAAGCAGCUAACGUAGUUCGCGUAUAGUUAUAACAUAACUACAUUGACUACAAGAAGGCAUUAUCCGAUAUUCGGAUAUGCCUUUUU
rnacentral:other from 1 species